UUAAGCGACUAAGCGUACACGGUGGAUGCCCUGGCAGUCAGAGGCGAUGAAGGACGUGCUAAUCUGCGAAAAGCGUCGGUAAGGUGAUAUGAACCGUUAUAACCGGCGAUGUCCGAAUGGGGAAACCCAGUGUGAUUCGUCACACUAUCGUUAACUGAAUACAUAGGUUAACGAGGCGAACCGGGGGAACUGAAACAUCUAAGUACCCCGAGGAAAAGAAAUCAACCGAGAUUCCCCCAGUAGCGGCGAGCGAACGGGGAGCAGCCCAGAGUCUGAAUCAGCUUGUGUGUUAGUGGAACGGUCUGGAAAGUCCGACGGUACAGGGUGAUAGUCCCGUACACCAAAAUGCACAGGUUGUGAACUCGAAGAGUAGGGCGGGACACGUGGUAUCCUGUCUGAAUAUGGGGGGACCAUCCUCCAAGGCUAAAUACUCCUGACUGACCGAUAGUGAACCAGUACCGUGAGGGAAAGGCGAAAAGAACCCCGGCGAGGGGAGUGAAAAAGAACCUGAAACCGUGUACGUACAAGCAGUGGGAGCACCUUCGGGUGUGACUGCGUACCUUUUGUAUAAUGGGUCAGCGACUUAUAUUCUGUAGCAAGGUUAACCGUAUAGGGGAGCCGCAGGGAAACCGAGUCUUAACUGGGCGUUAAGUUGCAGGGUAUAGACCCGAAACCAGGUGAUCUAGCCAUGGGCAGGUUGAAGGUUGGGUAACACUAACUGGAGGACCGAACCGACUAAUGUUGAAAAAUUAGCGGAUGACUUGUGGCUGGGGGUGAAAGGCCAAUCAAACCGGGAGAUAGCUGGUUCUCCCCGAAAGCUAUUUAGGUAGCGCCUCGUGAACUCAUCUUCGGGGGUAGAGCACUGUUUCGGCUAGGGGGUCAUCCCGACUUACCAACCCGAUGCAAACUACGAAUACCGAAGAAUGUUAUCACGGGAGACACACGGCGGGUGCUAACGUCCGUCGUGAAGAGGGAAACAACCCAGACCGCCAGCUAAGGUCCCAAAGUCAUGGUUAAGUGGGAAACGAUGUGGGAAGGCACAGACAGCCAGGAUGUUGGCUUAGAAGCAGCCAUCAUUUAAAGAAAGCGUAAUAGCUCACUGGUCGAGUCGGCCUGCGCGGAAGAUGUAACGGGGCUAAACCAUGCACCGAAGCUGCGGCAGCGACACUAUGUGUUGUUGGGUAGGGGAGCGUUCUGUAAGCCUGCGAAGGUGACCUGUGAGGGUUGCUGGAGGUAUCAGAAGUGCGAAUGCUGACAUAAGUAACGAUAAAGCGGGUGAAAAGCCCGCUCGCCGGAAGACCAAGGGUUCCUGUCCAACGUUAAUCGGGGCAGGGUGAGUCGACCCCUAAGGCGAGGCCGAAAGGCGUAGUCGAUGGGAAACAGGUUAAUAUUCCUGUACUUGGUGUUACUGCGAAGGGGGGACGGAGAAGGCUAUGUUAGCCGGGCGACGGUUGUCCCGGUUUAAGCAUGUAGGCUGGUUAUCCAGGCAAAUCCGGAUAAUCAAGGCUGAGGUGUGAUGACGAGGCACUACGGUGCUGAAGUAACAAAUGCCCUGCUUCCAGGAAAAGCCUCUAAGCAUCAGGUAACAUCAAAUCGUACCCCAAACCGACACAGGUGGUCAGGUAGAGAAUACCAAGGCGCUUGAGAGAACUCGGGUGAAGGAACUAGGCAAAAUGGUGCCGUAACUUCGGGAGAAGGCACGCUGGUGUGUAGGUGAAGCCCCUGCGGGUGGAGCUGAGACCAGUCGAAGAUACCAGCUGGCUGCAACUGUUUAUUAAAAACACAGCACUGUGCAAACACGAAAGUGGACGUAUACGGUGUGACGCCUGCCCGGUGCCGGAAGGUUAAUUGAUGGGGUUAUCCGUAAGGAGAAGCUCUUGAUCGAAGCCCCGGUAAACGGCGGCCGUAACUAUAACGGUCCUAAGGUAGCGAAAUUCCUUGUCGGGUAAGUUCCGACCUGCACGAAUGGCGUAAUGAUGGCCAGGCUGUCUCCACCCGAGACUCAGUGAAAUUGAACUCGCUGUGAAGAUGCAGUGUACCCGCGGCAAGACGGAAAGACCCCGUGAACCUUUACUAUAGCUUGACACUGAACAUUGAGCCUUGAUGUGUAGGAUAGGUGGGAGGCUUUGAAGCGUGGACGCCAGUCUGCGUGGAGCCAACCUUGAAAUACCACCCUUUAAUGUUUGAUGUUCUAACGUUGGCCCCUUACCGGGGUUGCGGACAGUGUCUGGUGGGUAGUUUGACUGGGGCGGUCUCCUCCCAAAGCGUAACGGAGGAGCACGAAGGUUAGCUAAUCCUGGUCGGACAUCAGGAGGUUAGUGCAAUGGCAUAAGCUAGCUUGACUGCGAGCGUGACGGCGCGAGCAGGUGCGAAAGCAGGUCAUAGUGAUCCGGUGGUUCUGAAUGGAAGGGCCAUCGCUCAACGGAUAAAAGGUACUCCGGGGAUAACAGGCUGAUACCGCCCAAGAGUUCAUAUCGACGGCGGUGUUUGGCACCUCGAUGUCGGCUCAUCACAUCCUGGGGCUGAAGUAGGUCCCAAGGGUAUGGCUGUUCGCCAUUUAAAGUGGUACGCGAGCUGGGUUUAGAACGUCGUGAGACAGUUCGGUCCCUAUCUGCCGUGGGCGCUGGAGAAUUGAGGGGGGCUGCUCCUAGUACGAGAGGACCGGAGUGGACGCAUCACUGGUGUUCGGGUUGUCAUGCCAAUGGCACUGCCCGGUAGCUAAAUGCGGAAGAGAUAAGUGCUGAAAGCAUCUAAGCACGAAACUUGCCCCGAGAUGAGUUCUCCCUGAGACUUUAAGUCUCCUGAAGGAACGUUGAAGACGACGACGUUGAUAGGCCGGGUGUGUAAGCGCAGCGAUGCGUUGAGCUAACCGGUACUAAUGAACCGUGAGGCUUAACCUU
rnacentral:rRNA from 1 species